rnacentral:lncRNA from 1 species
CUAACACCACUGUCCCACUGGGCGUGCCAAAUUGUUUCGCGCGGGUUAGUCGCUAACAAUUAAAAAGGAUCAGACGAUUGUGUAAGGGACAAAACCUCUUGAGACAAAGUCCCAAAAAUGGGUGUUCUUUUAUUGGCGAUGAAUUUUACAAUUGGAAAUGAAAAACAACGUGCCUCCAAGGGGCGCAAGCACACGAGUUACUGAAAGAAAAGUGUUUAAGUCUAAAAACUAAGGAAAUGAAAAUUACAUGUUCUCUGUUCGAGAGUCUUGGAUUCGGUCCUUUGCUUCUAUGUCCUUUCUUCCUUUUAUACUUCAUGGACGAUCUCUUUGUGAUCAACUGCCCUAAAAACUGCUUAAUCGUCCUAUAAUUGCCCACUUUCUUCGUAAUGGCCAACUUGUCACGAAAACUGCCUCCUUUAACUGCUACCAUUACUCUUCAUCGUUCAAUCGCUUUCGAUUGAAUUCCUUGAAUCGUGGAACGUGAUAGGGCUGCUCUAAUAACUGCUUUGAUAACUGCACUUCUUAAUAAGCACGACGCUUUAUGUUUGUUAAGACUUUGGGCGACUUGAAGGUUUGGGCGAGAAUGGAGUAACAGCUCUGGGCGACUGUAUGACACUCCAUUCGCUCAGAUUCUGGGCGACUUGGGCGAUGGCGUUACCGCGUUCUUGGGCCUCCUUAUUUGGGCCUUCAUCUUGAUUUGUUCGAUUGGACUUCGUUCUUUGGGUUAUCUGAUUCGGGGAUCCUCCAAUUGGGCUUCACUCUUUGGGCUGUUCGAGUUGGACUGAAUUUUUAUGUGUCAACAAGGGGUGAUGUUGAUUUAAAAAAAAAAAAAGUUGAACCCCAACUUUCAGGGUCCCCACUGCCCUACCUCUAGAACAUCGUGAAGGAGGUAAAUUAUGGGAUGUGUUUCAGUAGGUUAGUGAACAAGAGUUUGCCCGUAUACUGGUGCUCACAAAGUGUCAAAUUUCAUAUCUCAAGAAUCAAAUUCUCAUAAUGCGACUGCUAGCAAAGCUGAGAUUGCAUCACUCCUGUCCUUUGCACUAUUGGGUUAUGCCCCGAAGGGCAGGGGUGAUGUUGAUUAUGAUUAGGUGGGGUGGGGUAAGGUAUUUCUUUCUAUUUUUUCUUAGAAAAAUUGAAAAAUUGAAAGAAAUCAUUUUGCUCUUCAUUUUAUUGGACAAAAGGGAUCAUAAUUUUUUUUUUUUUUUGUAAACUAACUGACAUGUGGAUGGAAAGCGUUCAUUUAUCCUUGGACUGUAUACAAGUCAAAGGUUUGGGAUGAUGAGUAUAACAAAUGAAAGGUUAGGAUAAAAAUUCUCGCAAAGUAAAAGGUGUGAGUAUCAAAAUUGCAAUUUUCCUUAAAAAUUUAACAACUAAAAUCUUUCUUUCGAGAAAGAAUUUUUUUUUUCUUUAGGUACACGAGUUAAAUGUUGAACUUUUACUUAUGUUAUGAUUUACUCAUCGCAUUUUACAAUGCUUUCCACUGGUCACUCAAAUUUAUUUUUGUGCACUCCAUCACUCAGCUUUUAAUCUUUUUGAACUACUUUCUUAAUUUAGUCAUUAAUUAUUAUCGUGCAUUUCAUAAUGGCUAUUAAAAAAGGAAGAAAAAAUUUAUUUUUCUUCAAGUACAAUUAUUCACAAAUAUAUUAAAAAAGUUAACUAAUUUCGAAUUUACUUUUCCACUUUUUUUUUUCUAAUUCUCAAAAUGCUUUAUCUAAUUUUUAUGUAUAUUUGAUUUACAUACAUUCCGUAAUAUAAUGUUUUACAUUGUUGCAUCAAUAUGUUUCUUUCACCAUUUUUGUUGUCAUCCUCAUCACCAUCAUCACGCUUGUAAUAUUCAUUGUUACGCUCCCGUCACCAUUGCUUCCCAUUGUGAUAUUUAUUAUUACAGUGUCAUUGUCACCAUCAAUUUUUCACCAUUACCGACACAAAUGGGACUAGUAACACAUUCACACGUGAAGACAAAAUAAAAAAUCCAUAUAUCCUCGUCCAGAUUUAAAGUAGAUUCACAUUUGAAAUUCAAUUAAUCAAAUAUUUUUCAUGAAUUAUCCAGCAAAACCGCCACUUUACACCAAUUCUGUAAUAGCCACAAUCCCACGUCUCUUGAGGAAGGAUAAUGAUACUGAUUUAUAAUUGAAAUGACCACUUUCAAUUGGUACAAUGCAUUUUGUGUGAAAAUCUAACAACAAAAUUAUGUUGGCUAGGCUCAAAGCAGACAAUAUCAUACCAAGUGAACUGUAAUAUUACAUAUGGUAUCAAAGUUAAUACGUAGUCGAAAGUGUGGCCAACAAAGAUGUUGGACGCAAAAAUGUGGUGUGAUUGUAGUAGUCACAAUCACACAUCGUCCGAAGAAGGAUAAUGAGAUUGAUUUACUAGUGAAAGGAUCACUUCAAUUGGUAUGAGUCCUUUGGUAUAAGCUUAAUAACAAAAUCGUGUAGUCUAGGGUCAUAAUUUGGAGAGAAUCUUCGGUAUAGCGGUUGCAAUGCCACGGUGGGCCGUGUGCCACCUCGAUGGGUGGCCCACCACACACCCCUGAGGUGGCACCUCGGCAUUGGGCGGGCGCACCAUCUCCAUUGAAGAUUCUAGGCUCAUAAUUUGACAUCAAACUAAGUUGAUUGAGAUGUUACCACUUCAUAGGAUUGAGAUGUUACCACUUCAUAGGAGGAGGAGUUGAUGACGACUGGAAUCCAAAUUUGUAUUCAAUAUUGGAUUGCAGAACUGCCUGUUUCUUAUCCUCGGGUGGUGGCUACGACAGAUGCUUGAAUGAAGUGAUAGUUGAUUGUGUAGAAGUAGGUGGUGAUGGUUAAGUGGUCGUAGGUGGUGAUGGUUGUUCAAUUAGGAUGUUUUGUGUAUUUGAAAGUAGACGAGUGGUUGACAUCAUUUUCUCUCUCUUUUUCUUUAUUCUUUUAUGAACCAACUGUGAAAUGGAGGGCUGGCCCAACGAAGAGGUGAUGGUAGACCAACUAAACUUCGAAGCCCAACCCAGUCUACAUAUUAAUCAUAUAUUCUUCGAUUCAAAUAAUCUCUUCUAAACAAACACUCAAUUCGAGCUUAAAAUUGUUAUUUUAGAUAAUUGCUACUCAUGACACUAAAAUGAGUUUCUUCAAAAUUUUAUUAAGGCUUUUUCUUAUGUAAGAAUGGAAAUAUUCAUUUUAUCCUUAGUAAAAAUAAUUUAUAGUUGUGUAGUCAAUUCGAUAUGCUUGACUAUCUAUUUCGAUCCCCAUUUAGCUAUCUUUGACUCCAUCUACAACUCUAUGGGAACAAGUGGAACACGACUCAUAAAAUUUAUGCAAAUUCUGUAGUUUGCCUCUAUUUGGUGUAUAGUUAACACACACACACACACUAUAAUUUUUAUUUAUUGCACCACAUUUUAAUUACAAUUAAGGUCUUAAAUAGACUUGUUAUAACACUUAUGUCCUU